rnacentral:lncRNA from 1 species
CUUUUGUAAAUUGUCCAGUCUUGGGUAUGUCUUUAUCAGCAGCAUGAAAACAGACUAAUACAGUUUCUACAUGCAUUUAUUUAACACUUAACUAAUUUUCUCACUUGGUCUUCAUGAAACAGGUGUCUUUGAAUUGAGGAGAGGAGAAAGAAGAGGAAUGAUUUUUUAAAAACCAUAAAACAGAGGUUACCCAGUGCCUUCAAGACUAAACUUUAUUAUAGUUUCCACAGCAAGUAGCUGGAGAAAGUGCAACCAAGGCUGCAAAGUGGACAGCCGUGCAGUGCGCAGGGUGCGGGAAGGCAGAGGGGUGGCCCCGUGGCCCCUCAGCCCAGGAGUCUCGAGCCAGUGGCUCUUGGGGCUGUGGGUUGAAAACAGGCCAGCAGCUUCUAGCACGUCCCUCGCGGUGUUCUUCACCUUCUCCCAAGAAUGCAUCCCUCGCAAUGCUCUCUCGUGUUCUCUUGAGGAUACGCGGCUUUUGGCCAUGGCAGCAGUCAGAGCUGUCAGCCCACACAAAAGAGGAAAGUCUGAGGCUUUAGUUUGAUGAACACAUUUAUAUGAUGGGACGAACAUCAGAGCCCGCAGCUCUCGGCCCUGCUGGUGGCAGAGGCUUUGUACUGUGUGACAAUGACCUGGAUAUGGAAGCAGAAGGGAGCUUCUAAGGACCGGAAGCUGAGAGUCUGUCUCCUGUCCCGGCCCGGACACUGGGGUUCAGGGAAGUGUGCUCUGCCCCCUGUGUGGAUGCCUGUGUCCUGUGUGUGGCUGGAGUAGGACUUGGCUUGUGGGUGAUCACAGAGACGGAGACUGAGAAGCAGAUCGAUCCUAGCUUUGCUACUGACAAAAAGCAUGGGAACCAGAGCCUCAGUGUCUGCAGGAGUUGCUGGCUGUUUCCUGAUGCAGUUGGAGCAGAAUGGGAUGUCCUGGGACAACAGAGAUGUUUACCCAUCUUGACUAGUGUGGUCAUCUGAAGAAUGGCCUCCAAAGACAUCCUGAGAACCUGGGAAUGUUGCAUGGAUGAAGGAAUUUGCAAAAGUGAUUAAGUUAAGGAGCUUGAAAUUUGUGGAUCAUGCUGGGUUACCCCAGUGAGCUCUAAAUGUAAUCACAUGUGUCUUUAUGAAAGGGAGGCAGAGGGAGAUUUGCAGACAGAUGAGGAGGAAGAUGAGAAAACAAUGGACACAAGAAAGAAAAGGUGAUGCAGUUCAGGGACCCAAGCCAAUAAAUGAGGUGACCUCCAGAUGCUGGAGAAGGGAAGGAAGCAGAUGGACUCUAGAGCCCCCAAAAGAAGCAGGGCUCUGCCAUCACCUUGAUUUUGUCCCAAUGAAACCCAUUGGUCAUUUAGCUGCCAGAACUGUGUAAGCAUAAAUGUGUGUUCGUUUAAGCCAUGAAAUUUGCAGUAAUUUGUUAAAGCUGCCAUGGGAAACUAACACAACUGGAGUGGUAGUUCCGUGAAUGCAUGCAUUCACCAAACCUUAACAUGUACUCUUCGGAUACUGGCAUGAUAGGUCCAUGAAUGCAUAUGUUCACCCACACACUAAUAUAUACCCUUCAAAUACUGGUAUGAUAGUUCUAUGAAUGCAUGUGUUCACCACACACUAACAUGUACCCUUCAGAUACGGGCAUGGUAGUGCCCUGAAUACACGUGUUCACCAAACCCCAACAUGUACCCUUCAGAUACUGGCAUGAUAGUUCCAUGAAUCCAUGUGUUCACCAAAUCCCAACAUGUACUCUUCAGAUAUGGACAUGGUAGUUCCAUGAAUACAUGUUUUCACCAAAAACCAACAUGUACCCUUCAGAUACUGGUAUGAUAGUUCCAUGAAUGCAUAUGUUCACCAAACUAAAAUAUGUACCUGAUAUGGUUUGGCUGUGUCCCCACCCAAAUCUCAUC